rnacentral:rRNA from 1 species
UCAGCACGGCCCUUAUGUCCAGGGCUACACACGUGUUACAAUGGUCGGUACAGAGGGCAGCUACCUGGUGACAGGAUGCUAAUCUCGAAAACCGGCCUCAGUUCGGAUCGAAGUCUGCAACUCGACUUCGUGAAGCUGGAUUCGCUAGUAAUCGCGCAUCAGCUAUGGCGCGGUGAAUACGUUCCCGGGCCUU